rnacentral:rRNA from 1 species
CACGCCGUAAACGAUGAAUACUAGGUGUAGGGGGUAUCGACUCCCUCUGUGCCGCAGCUAACGCAAUAAGUAUUCCACCUGGGGAGUACGGCCGCAAGGUUGAAACUCAAAGGAAUUGACGGGGGCCCGCACAAGCAGUGGAUUAUGUGGUUUAAUUCGAAGCAACGCGAAGAACCUUACCAGGGCUUGACAUCCUCUGACCGCUCUAGAGAUAGAGCUUCCCUUCGGGGCAUAGAGACAGGUGG